GACGAACGCUGGCGGCGUGCUUAACACAUGCAAGUCGAACGGAAAGGCCCUGCUUUUGUGGGGUGCUCGAGUGGCGAACGGGUGAGUAACACGUGAGUAACCUGCCCUUGACUUUGGGAUAACUUCAGGAAACUGGGGCUAAUACCGGAUAGGAGCUCCUGCUGCAUGGUGGGGGUUGGAAAGUUUCGGCGGUUGGGGAUGGACUCGCGGCUUAUCAGCUUGUUGGUGGGGUAGUGGCUUACCAAGGCUUUGACGGGUAGCCGGCCUGAGAGGGUGACCGGCCACAUUGGGACUGAGAUACGGCCCAGACUCCUACGGGAGGCAGCAGUGGGGAAUAUUGCACAAUGGGCGGAAGCCUGAUGCAGCAACGCCGCGUGCGGGAUGACGGCCUUCGGGUUGUAAACCGCUUUCGCCUGUGACGAAGCGUGAGUGACGGUAAUGGGUAAAGAAGCACCGGCUAACUACGUGCCAGCAGCCGCGGUGAUACGUAGGGUGCGAGCGUUGUCCGGAUUUAUUGGGCGUAAAGGGCUCGUAGGUGGUUGAUCGCGUCGGAAGUGUAAUCUUGGGGCUUAACCCUGAGCGUGCUUUCGAUACGGGUUGACUUGAGGAAGGUAGGGGAGAAUGGAAUUCCUGGUGGAGCGGUGGAAUGCGCAGAUAUCAGGAGGAACACCAGUGGCGAAGGCGGUUCUCUGGGCCUUUCCUGACGCUGAGGAGCGAAAGCGUGGGGAGCGAACAGGCUUAGAUACCCUGGUAGUCCACGCUGUAAACGGUGGGUACUAGGUGUGGGGUCCAUUCCACGGGUUCCGUGCCGUAGCUAACGCUUUAAGUACCCCGCCUGGGGAGUACGGCCGCAAGGCUAAAACUCAAAGGAAUUGACGGGGCCCCGCACAAGCGGCGGAGCAUGCGGAUUAAUUCGAUGCAACGCGUAGAACCUUACCUGGGUUUGACAUGGAUCGGGAGUGCUCAGAGAUGGGUGUGCCUCUUUUGGGGUCGGUUCACAGGUGGUGCAUGGCUGUCGUCAGCUCGUGUCGUGAGAUGUUGGGUUAAGUCCCGCAACGAGCGCAACCCUUGUCCACUGUUGCCAGCACGUUAUGGUGGGGACUCAGUGGAGACCGCCGGGGUCAACUCGGAGGAAGGUGGGGAUGACGUCAAGUCAUCAUGCCCCUUAUGUCCAGGGCUUCACGCAUGCUACAAUGGCUGGUACAGAGAGUGGCGAGCCUGUGAGGGUGAGCGAAUCUCGGAAAGCCGGUCUCAGUUCGGAUUGGGGUCUGCAACUCGACCUCAUGAAGUCGGAGUCGCUAGUAAUCGCAGAUCAGCAACGCUGCGGUGAAUACGUUCCCGGGGCUUGUACACACCGCCCGUCAAGUCAUGAAAGUUGGUAACACCCGAAGCCGGUGGCCUAACCGUUGUGGGGGAGCCGUCGAAGGUGGGACUGGUGAUUAGGACUAAGUCGUAGCAAGGUAGCCGUACCGGAAGG
rnacentral:rRNA from 1 species